rnacentral:rRNA from 1 species
GAUGAACGCUAGCGGCAGGCCUAAUACAUGCAAGUCGAACGGUGUCUUCGGACAUAGUGGCGCACGGGUGCGUAACACGUAUGCAACCUACCUUACAUUGGGGGAUAGCCUUUCGAAGGGGAGAUUAAUACCGCAUAAGACAGUAGCUGGGCAUCCAGCAGCUGUUAAAGAUUUAUCGAUGUAAGCUGGGCAUGCGUCCAAUUAGCUAGUUGGUGAGGUAACGGCUCACCAAGGCAAUGAUUGGUAGGGGAACUGAGAGGUCAAUCCCCCACACUGGCACUGAGCUACGGGCCAGACUCCUACGGGAGGCAGCAGUAGGGAAUAUUGGGCAAUGGACGCAAGUCUGACCCAGCCAUGCCGCGUGCAGGAUGAAGGCGUUAUGCGUUGUAAACUGCUUUUAUACAGGAAGAAACGACUCUUGCGAGAGGCAUUGACGGUACUGUAUGAAUAAGCACCGGCUAACUCCGUGCCAGCCGCCGCCGUAAGAC